CCUAAGGUGUGGGCGUGGCCUCCGUACAUGAUUCUCCUUAAAAAGUUGGCGUUGUUAUGCAAAAAUGUACCUCUUCUCUGGAGGGUGUUGGUGCUGGCCAAAGAAUGGCUGCAGCAGUCUCAUUAUUCGAAUGGUGAAUCUGGACAGAUUCUGAUGCUUUCCAAUUAGCCUCAGGAAGUUGGGGAAUUCCUUAUACUCCAUUAUUACGUGGAUGUAUGCUAUAGAAG